rnacentral:rRNA from 1 species
GUACACUCCUACGGGAGGCAGCAGUGGGGAAUAUUGCACAAUGGGCGCAAGCCUGAUGCAGCCAUGCCGCGUGUAUGAAGAAGGCCUUCGGGUUGUAAAGUACUUUCAGCGGGGAGGAAGGCGAUAAGGUUAAUAACCUUGUUGAUUGACGUUACCCGCAGAAGAAGCACCGGCUAACUCCGUGCCAGCAGCCGCGGUAAUACGGAGGGUGCAAGCGUUAAUCGGAAUUACUGGGCGUAAAGCGCACGCAGGCGGUCUGUCAAGUCGGAUGUGAAAUCCCCGGGCUCAACCUGGGAACUGCAUUCGAAACUGGCAGGCUAGAGUCUUGUAGAGGGGGGUAGAAUUCCAGGUGUAGCGGUGAAAUGCGUAGAGAUCUGGAGGAAUACCGGUGGCGAAGGCGGCCCCCUGGACAAAGACUGACGCUCAGGUGCGAAAGCGUGGGGAGCAAACAGGAUUAGAAACCCGGGUAGUCCCAUGA